rnacentral:rRNA from 1 species
CAGUCGCCACGGGAAUACGGAGGGGGCUAGCGUUGUUCGGAAUUACUGGGCGUAAAGCGCACGUAGGCGGCUUGGUAAGUUAGAGGUGAAAGCCUGGAGCUCAACUCCAGAAUUGCCUUUAAGACUGCCGAGCUAGCAGGUGAGAGAGGUAAGUGGAAUUCCGAGUGUAGAGGUGAAAUUCGUAGAUAUUCGGAAGAGCACCAGUGGCGAAGGCGGCUUACUGGCUCAUACUGGACGCUGAGGUGCGAAAGCGUGGGGGGCAAACAGGAUUAGAUACCCCCGUAGUCCCUGUCUCUUAUAA